rnacentral:tRNA from 1 species
GAUUAUUUAGUUUAAAAAAAACAAGUGUUUUGAAAACAUUAAAUAAGAAUUUCUUAAUAAUCA